CCACCAACCCCACACACCCCCCCACCCCCACCCACCACACAAAACCCCCAAAACCCCCCCAACCCCCAAACCCCACCAACCCCACCAACCCCACAAACC
rnacentral:misc_RNA from 1 species